rnacentral:rRNA from 1 species
GGGUAGGAGUGAAAGGCUAAUCAAACCCCGUGAUAGCUGGUUCUCUUCGAAAUGCAUUUAGGUGCAGCGUCACGUGCUGAUGCGCGGGGGUAGAGCACUGACAAGGCUAGGGGGCACACCCGCUUACCAAACCUUAUCAAACUCCGAAUACCGUGCAAUGGAACGUGGCAGUGAGACAGUGGGGGAUAAGCUUCAUUGUCGAGAGGGAAACAACCCAGACCAGCAGCUAAGGUGCCUAAAUAACGCUCAGUGGAAAGGAUGUGGGAUUACACAGACAGUGAGGAUGUUGGCUUAGAAGCAGCCACCAUUUAAAAAAUGCGUAAUAGCUUACUCAUCGAGUGAUCCUGCGCCGAAAAUGAUUGGCGAUCAAGCGUUAUACCGAAGCUCUGGACUUUGCCGCAAGGCAGAGUGGUAGAAGAGCGUUGCAUGCGCGUCGAAGGGCGAUGGCGACUGACCCUGGAGCACAUGCAAGUGAGUAUGCAGACAUGAGUAACGUUAAGCCGGGUGAAAUCCCCGGCCGCCGUAAACCCGAGGUUUCCAGGGCAACGUGUUUCGUCCCUGGGUUAGCCGGGACCUAAGCCGAGGCCGAGAGGCGUAGGCGAUGGAUAUCAGGUUAAUAAUCCUGAGCUCGCAACCCUUAAACUGGGGGGACGCAUGAGAAAAGAUGACUAGGUUAUUGAAUUCCGAGUUGAGUCCACGGACUCAGCGCAUCAUUGGAUCGAGUGCCAAGAAAAGCCCCAGCGUAUGCUAAGCGACCCGUACCGCAAACCGACACAGGUGGGUGGGUAGAAUAUACCAAGGCGUAAGAGUGAAACCUGGUUAAGGAACUCGGCAAAUUAGCCCCGUAACUUCGGAAGAAGGGGUGCCUGCAGCGAUGCAGGCCGCAGAGAAAUGGCCCAACCGACUGUUUAUCAAAAACACAGCACUCUGCAAAGACGCAAGUCGAAGUAUAGGGUGUGACACGUGACCAAUGCCGAAAGAUUAAGGCAAGGGGUUAGCCGCAAGGCGAAGCUCUAAACCCAAGUCCCGGUGAAUGUCGGCCGUAACUAUAACGGUCCUAAGGUAGCGAAAUUCCUUGUCGGGUAAGUUCCGACCUGCACGAAUCGUGAAACGAGUUGGGCACUGUCUCAACCAGGCGCUCAGUGAAAUUGUAGUGGCGGUGAAGAUGCCGCCUACCCGCAGAAGGACGGAAAGACCCUAUAGACCUUAACUGUAAGCUGUCAUUGUUUCUUCGGUUUUAAUGCUCAGAGUAAGUGGGAGACGCUGAAGACGCCCUUUAGGGGGCGUCCGAGUCAUCAAUGAGACACCACCCUUUGAAACUGGAGGAUCUAACCCUGAGCCGUGAAUCCGGCCAGAGGACCGUGUCAGCCGGUCAGUUUUACUGGGGCGGUAUCCUCCCAAAGAGUAACGGAGGAGCGCGAAGGUGGGCUCAGCCCGGUUGGCAACCGGGUGUCGAGUGCAUGGGCAUAAGCCCGCCUAACUGUGAGACCAACAAGUCGAGCAGAUGCGAAAGCAGGCCCAAGUGAUCCGGCGGUAGAAAGUGGAAUUGCCGUCGCUCAACGGAUAAAAGGUACCUUAGGGAUAACAGGCUGAUCACGCCCAAGAGUUCAUAUCGACGGCGUGGUUUGGCACCUCGAUGUCGGCUCGUCGCAUCCUGGGGCUGUAGUAGGUCCCAAGGGUUGGGC